rfam:Pyronema omphalodes CBS 100304, CBS100304, WGS project CATG01000000 data, contig: Pcon_v1_contig288
GGCAACCUGGCCGAGCGGUCUAAGGCGCCAGCUUCAGGUGCUGGUCCGUAACAGGGCGCGAGUUCGAAUCUCGCGGUUGUCA